rnacentral:lncRNA from 1 species
UGGUCACAAACACCCCCUACAUCCCAUCCCAUCUACGCUGACCACCACCCGCCACGACAACCAUCACAGUACCACACCACCACCACACACCAAACUCCGAAACCAACAAUCUCCAUCGUCGCCAAAAACCACCACAACCACAACCACAACCACAACCACAACCACAACAACCGCCAGCAAACAUACUAACAAUGCUUAAUUCACAACCUCACCAACACCACCCAAAAGUAAUUUUUCAGCUAGUUCCACCCACUAGAACCACCACCACCUCAACACAUCGCAGAACACCAACGUACCACAAUCACCACUGCACCUACUUCCACGACCACCACCGUCGACCAUCACCACCAAUGCCAAAAUAUGUAAGUAGC